UACGUAGGGUGCGAGCGUUGUCCGGAAUUACUGGGCGUAAAGGGUGCGUAGGCGGUUGUUUAAGUCUGUCGUGAAAUCCCCGGGCUCAACCUGGGAAUGGCGAUGGAUACUGGCGAGCUAGAGUGUGUCAGAGGAUGGUGGAAUUCCCGGUGUAGCGGUGAAAUGCGUAGAGAUCGGGAGGAACAUCAGUGGCGAAGGCGGCCAUCUGGGACAACACUGACGCUGAAGCACGAAAGCGUGGGGAGCAAACAGG
rnacentral:rRNA from 1 species